rnacentral:rRNA from 1 species
CAUGAAGCUGGAAUCGCUAGUAAUCGCGAGUCAGAAUGUCGCGGUGAAUACGUUCCCGGGUCUUGUACACACCGCCCGUCACACCAUGGGAGUCGGAAAUGCCCGAAGUCAGUGACCCAACCGUAAGGAGGGAGCUGCCGAAGGUGGAGCCGGUAACUGGGGUGAAGUCGUAACAAGGUACC